UGAAGAAUGCAAUACUUUAUCCAUGCCCUUCUCCUUGACGGACAAAUUUUAACGAUGGAAAAAUUUUGUUGCUAAUGCCACUUAAUUUCGACAGAAUCUAAUGUCGAAAAAUUUCGGUCAUUAAUUCUUUAUUUCUUUUAGAAAACAAUUUUAAUUCUUUUAGAAUUAAAUAAAGACUUAAGGACCGAACAUUAGCGACAGAAAUAUUACGUCGCUAAUUGAGAGUUGAAGGAACCAACGACGAAAAUCUGUAGCUAAGUUCUAAUUUUUCCUUCUCUCUCCUCAUUUCCCUGUUUUCUUCUUCCCCUUUCUCUCCCGACCCACUCGACCCUCCGCCAGAAAACCCCGCGCCCCCUCUUCAACCAAGGCCCACGCUCCAGCCCCGACAACGGAGAGGUCCGGUUGUCGUCAGCCCAACGUCCGGUGACCCCUUAUCCCCUUCCCUUUUCACCCUUCAUUUCCUUGGCCGAUCCCUUUUCGACGAAAAAUAGUUCGACUCUCCCAGGUUUCCAUUCUUAAUCCUAAGACUCCGCCCAACAGUCUUGUCCGCAUGUUGGGAAAUGAAGUCUAUGUCGGUGCUUACAAGUUUAUCCUAAUCGAGGUAUGGAUUGUUCAUCCCAGAAAAGGAGAAGCGGCGUAGGACGGAUGAUGAAGAUGUGGAUCCCAUGGAUUUGGUUGAAAUUGUUACUUUGACAGAUUUCAAGAUUGCUUGUUCACAGUUGGAGAAGCUUGAAAAUGGAUGGAGUCAUUUGAUCAUGCCAAGCAACGUGUACAAGGAAGUCAGUUAAAAUGCUUUGAUUAAAAAAUGCUUUAAUUCAUAUAUGUGGUUGUGUUCUUAGAAUUGAUGUUUAAGGAAGAGUAUCAUCAUUUUGCUAACACAUUUGAGUAUUGGUGGACUUAUGGUUUGAUAUUGGAUUCAAGUUUGUAAUAAUAUUGUAAAACCUUACUUUAUUUUUU